CCUACGGGAGGCAGCAGUGAGGAAUAUUGGUCAAUGGACGCAAGUCUGAACCAGCCAAGUAGCGUGCAGGAUGACGGCCCUCCGGGUUGUAAACUGCUUUUAGUUGGGAAUAAACGGGGGCUCGUGAGCCCCGUAUUGUAUGUACCAUCAGAAAAAGGACCGGCUAAUUCCGUGCCAGCAGCCGCGGUAAUACGGAAGGUCCGGGCGUUAUCCGGAUUUAUUGGGUUUAAAGGGAGCGUAGGCCGGCUUUUAAGUCAGCUGUGAAAGUCCGCGGCUCAACCGUGGAAUUGCAGUUGAAACUGGAGGCCUUGAGUGCACACAGGGAUGCCGGAAUUCAUGGUGUAGCGGUGAAAUGCUUAGAGAUCAUGAAGAACUCCGAUUGCGAAGGCAGCUUACUAAACUAUAACUGACACUGAAGCACGAAAGCGUGGGGAUCAAACAGGAUUAGAUACCCCGGUAGUC
rnacentral:rRNA from 1 species